AUCUUCCCCGGGAGGAUAACAAUUUCUGGAACGCGGUAGAUGUCGGGAUAUCCCGACUAGAAAUUUCAGUGAGGCGGUAGUUUGGUCCGAAUGUCAAACUUGCGGCAAGUGAAGAAUCCAAAUCAGGCCGCUUCAUAUCGUAGAACCUACCUGUAAAAAAACUACCAUAAAUUAUCCGCUAUAUUCGCAGUUAUCUUUGUAUUUUUUGUACUUGUAAAAUGUUAUCAUUUUUCCUUUUAGGUAAAUUUUCGGUAUCAAUUAUUAUCUCUAAUGUUAGUUAAACAGCAUUAAAAUAUUUUUUGUUCAAUAGUUAGCUUUUAAUCGCUUCAAAGUUGUCACAAUUCAAAAUUUUCUUAAAUCAUUAUCUCUAAAAAUCAGUGAUGAAAAUAGAGACAUUCAGAGAUUUCAACAAUUUUUAUAGGCAUAUUUCUCAUUAUUACUUGGUUGUUAAAUUUUUUGUAGUAAUAACAAAUAAUUCAAACACGUAUGCUCAUUUUGAAAUAUGAUUUUUUUUAUUAAUUUAUCUUUUCUUUGAAUGCAUUUGUCAUUAUUAACUUAUCUACCUUUUCGUAGAAACUUACCAAAGAAACUGGACAGUUAUUACAUCAGUUAGAAUAUCAGCCUUGAUAUUGUAAGAUGAGAUAAAUAUUUCAUAAAAAAUAACAGAAAAGAGUCUGUUGACAGAGCUGAGGACCUACCAGAGAAUGCAAACAUGGAUUUAUCUGCUUCCUUUUGAAAAAACUCAGAAGGCAGUCAACAAUCUCAGGGGUUUAUAAGCUCUGGAAACGGUUCGUCGAAAACUAGAAAUGACAAUGCGCAUAAGGCACGACAAAAAUCCUACGGGCAAAAGCGUCAACGAGGCUCUUCAAGAGUCUGAGGAAUCUUGGGGGAACAUAAGUAGUGAGGAAAGAACUAUUAAAAGAUCGAUAUAUAAAAAUCAAAAAACCGAGGAUUGGAUACGGUAGAAAAAUUUCUAGUGCAGAGGAGUCAGAUACUGACAAUGAUACAUCUAAAAUUGCCAAGCAGAUGCGCACCUCUCUGAGCUACGAUAAAUUUUCCCUCGGGAAUUCGCAUAAAAGUGCGAGAACCGAACCCCAAAGCACGCUUGGAGAUGACCAGGAAUGUUCCAAAAUAUAUGUGGACCAAGACAUGUUGACUCAAGUCUUAUCAAACUUAUUAGUUCCGAUUGUAAAGGAGCAAUAAUGCAUUGGCUCUCAAUUGAGCUCAUUAACCAAGACUGUUAAUGAUAUGAGAGGAAUUCUGAUCCAGACCCGUAGAAUUUGUGAAAAUACAAGUACAGUAAAUAAAAUUGAGCUUGAGUUCGAUUUAGAUGGUAUCAAUCUACCAUGUAGAGAUAUAACUGAAUUCACCAUAUUCGAGAGAAAGUUGAGCGACACUCCAAGCUUCCGGGAUAAAAUUGUAUGCAAGCUGGCUUCAAUGGCGAAUACCAGUCAAGCGAUGGUCCACAGUGCUACACCCAUGACGCGAUUUGUAAUGUCACGGGAUUUAACCCUGACAUGUAAUUUAAAAAAAGCCAACGACAGGAGCAUUAAUGUUUUUUUGAAUACAUACCAAGUUCUACGAGGUAAUCAAAGCCGUCGUCGUCAAUAUAUUUCUAAAGUCUUCCGAUGACCAGAUAGCUGAUUCCACACGGUACACACGACUUUGCAGUCAGUAUUUAACCAUUGUGGUGAUUGGGAAGGCGGACGGAACGACAGAAAAAAGACAGCCGAACGAAAAUUACUUACAAUUAGUAAGACGAGUGAACAAGCAGAUGGGAGCAGCUGAUAAGCCUGGAUCAUCAAGUCAAUUCAACAAGGACCCGAGUUAGAUCAGCUAAUUCGAGAUCAUUAAUUAAUUAUAUUUCUUUCUCUUUUACAUACAUAUAUGUAAUAUAAAUAUAAAGUAUAAAGUUUUUCGCAAUUUUAUUGGAAAAAAUUUUAAAUUUUUGAUUGAUGGUACUUUUGAUCGCAGAUAUCUUUGAAACGGUUGAUGAGAGAAACUUUGACCUUCAGACAUUUUUUGUAAAGCGUCAAAUUUCCUAUAAAACCUCUCACUGGAAUGUUGCGGAAACAAGCCAUUCCGAAGUAAUUAAAAUUCAAAAAUGAAAAAAAAAAAUUCCUGUUUUAUUUAAAUGAGAAAACUACAAAAGGAUUGAGGCAAACCUCAAUAUCAAUAUUAAAGGCUCAAAAAGGCGCCAAAAUUCUUAUUUUUAAAUGUACUUCCAACUUUUCCACACCAACAAGAACAAAAAAAAAAAUGUUUUUUUUUUUUAAACACCCUAAGUAUGUAUAUUGUAAUAUUUGCAGGAUACCCCCAAAUUAUAUUCAAUUAUUUGCCACACGUUUUUGUUCUCGAACUUUGAGUUGCUUUUUGUAAACAACGAUAGUCAGUCUAAAGCCCGACUUCUGACAAAUAAGCCGCGUUUUAAAAAAUAUAGCAUUUCAUUCCAAGGAUAUAUCUUUCAACAUUUAUUGCAUUUAAUUCAUUGGGUUUUGCUUAUUUAAUUCCUUGCAUUUAAUCUUGCGUUUUGGCAUUUGCCUUUAUUUAUUGAUAAACUGUUUCAUUUGUUCGUUAAUCUUUUGUCCAUUCACUACGCGCGUAAAUCCCCUGAUUGAUAAUUUAUUUAUUCGAUAUUUAUCUAUUUAUUUAAUAAUUCGUUUAGUUACCGCUCGACCGCCCCUACAUCGCAAUAUCAUUAAAUAUAUCAAAUGCUAUCUUCAGAAAUGCAAUUUAUACGAAGUGUGGAUAGGAACAGUGACAGAUUUAAGUAGUUAGGAUUACGUUAUUAACGUUCGUAUUUUGAUAUUGGGUAAUAAUUUGAGAUUUUGGUUGUAUUUCAUAUUUGAUAUAUCGUUGCAUAUUUGAUAUGCAACAAUAUAUCUACACAUGGUGAUAUUGUGUAAAAUUUGAGUAAUUCAGCUUCUGUCACGUUCCCCAGAGUAUAUAAGUUGGUGUCGAAGUAGCCGUGAAGAAUUAACGUAUUAUAUAACUUGUAUUGGGAACUUGCAUUCGUAGGGUGAUUAGUUUCUGAUCUCCACUUAAAAACUAUAGUUAGCGUAACACGUUGUAACGAGUGUACUAGAGAGAGUGAUAGAAGGGAGGAGUGGUGGGGAGGAAGUGACUAAUUCACAGAACAGGACAAUUGAAAUUAAGGUGAUAAGGAGUCGAGCUCGCUCCGCAAAACAUAAUUCUAAAACAACUCACACGUUUAAUAAGAAUCGACUAAAGGAUAUUUUAUCAGUGAUAAAACCCUCACGAAUCUAAAACAAUUACCACAACGUUUAGUGCUGGCUAAGGCUGGUGUCGACCUCGCUAACAAUAAGUUUUAAUCUCUUAUUGUUAAUUCUAGUAUACUAUCUGUUCUUGAUAUUAUUCUUUAUAAAAUAAAUAUAAAACUAAUCCCUAACAAUAAGUUGUAUUGUAAGUGUACGUCGAGGAAUGCUAAU